AGUGAACGCUGGCGGUAGGCCUAACACAUGCAAGUCGAACGGCAGCACAGUAAGAGCUUGCUCUUACGGGUGGCGAGUGGCGGACGGGUGAGGAAUACAUCGGAAUCUACUUUUUCGUGGGGGAUAACGUAGGGAAACUUACGCUAAUACCGUAUACGACCUACGGGUGAAAGCAGGGGAUCUUCGGACCUUGCGCGUUUCAAUGAGCCGAUGUCGGAUUAGCUAGUUGGCGGGGUAAAGGCCCACCAAGGCGACGAUCCGUAGCUGGUCUGAGAGGAUGAUCAGCCACACUAGAACUGAGACACGGUACAGACUCCUACGGGAGGCAGCAGGGGGGAAUAUUGGACAAUGGGCACAAGCCUGAUCCAGCCAUACCGCGUGGGUGAAGAAGGCCUUCGGGUUGUAAAGCCCUUUUGUUGGGAAAGAAAAGCAGCAGGUUAAUACCCCGCUGUUCUGACGGUACCCAAAGAAUAAGCACCGGCUAACUUCGUG
rnacentral:rRNA from 1 species